UACGUAGGGUGCGAGCGCUAAUCGGAAUUACUGGGCGUAAAGAGUGCGUAGGCGGUUCUUCAAGUCCGCUGUGAAAUCCCCGGGCUUAACCUGGGAACUGCAUUUGUGACUGCAUCGCUGGAGUGCGGCAGAGGGGGAUGGAAUUCCGCGUGUAGCAGUGAAAUGCGUAGAUAUGCGGAGGAACGCCGAUGGCGAAGGCAAUCCCCUGGGCCUGCACUGACGCUCAUGCACGAAAGCGUGGGGAGCAAACAGG
rnacentral:rRNA from 1 species